GCCGGAGUGGCGGAAUGGCAGACGCGACGGAUUCAAAAUCCGUUGUCCCCAAAGGACGUGUGGGUUCGACUCCCACCUUCGGCA
rnacentral:tRNA from 1 species